ACUGGAGUGAGAGACCACAGACCCAUCUCACCUCAGGAUGACAGGGUGGUCAGUUUUUCAGAGGUGGUGUAGGGGGCCACAAUGGAGCGAAGGUUUGACCUCAGCUUGAAGGAUCUGAAUUCGUCCUCCACAUGUGAAGAGCUGACUGAAGACAAGAGGAGCUGUAAGCAGAAGCAGCACCAUGUUGCAGUCUACAAGGAUCUCUGUCAACAUGCCCAGGACGACCCAACCUUCACGUUGGGGAUCAUCACCAGCGAGGAGAGCUGAGUUUAUGGCUACGACCCAGAGACCAAACAGCUGUCUUCACAAUGAAAGAGCCUGCAGUCUCCAAGACAGCCCAGUCCAGAAUGAACUUCUGCACAGCAAAUGAUUUUCCAAUGCCUGCAACACCCAUCGUCAGGACUGUUCUGUGGGGUUUCUCCUGGCCAGGCAAAGACUCAAAGAUAUCACAGAGGUUGACUGAACGUUCCAAUGAUGACUGCCUUUUCACUUUAUACUCAAGUCAUAAUAGGCUAGAACAUUACCUGACUGAUGGCUCACUGCAAAUACUGGCUGGCUGUUCAGGCGUCAGAGGAGAAGGGCUGGAAGAUGAAAAGUCGGACAACUUCCUCUUUUUCCUCUGGGCCAUGUCUACAGCUGCUGCUGAAACUCAACAACUGGAAGACAGGGGAAUAGUUCAAGACACAAAGAAAAGAAUCCAAGAGUUUCUUUGUCUGUAACCAUGAAGCACACUCCAGUCCCACCCCUGGAUGUGGGUUCGCAGUGCUGACACCCUGUUACUGGACACCGCCCGCCUGUGGAGGUGAGCUGUCACUGUCGUCCUCCCAGGUUGAAGAAGUAAAU